CAAGGCGACGAUCCCUAGCUGGUCUGAGAGGAUGACCAGCCACACUGGAACUGAGACACGGUCCAGACUCCUACGGGAGGCAGCAGUGGGGAAUAUUGCACAAUGGGCGCAAGCCUGAUGCAGCCAUGCCGCGUGUAUGAAGAAGGCCUUCGGGUUGUAAAGUACUUUCAGCGGGGAGGAAGGUGUUGUGGUUAAUAACCGCAGCAAUUGACGUUACCCGCAGAAGAAGCACCGGCUAACUCCGUGCCAGCAGCCGCGGUAAUACGGAGGGUGCAAGCGUUAAUCGGAAUUACUGGGCGUAAAGCGCACGCAGGCGGUCUGUCAAGUCGGAUGUGAAAUCCCCGGGCUCAACCUGGGAACUGCAUUCGAAACUGGCAGGCUUGAGUCUUGUAGAGGGGGGUAGAAUUCCAGGUGUAGCGGUGAAAUGCGUAGAGAUCUGGAGGAAUACCGGUGGCGAAGGCGGCCCCCUGG
rnacentral:rRNA from 1 species